AUUUAACGCUGGCGGCAGGCUUAACACAUGCAAGUCGAACGAGUGGCGGACGGGUGAGUAAUGUUUGGGAAACUGGCUUAUGGAGGGGGAUAACUACUGGAAACUGUAGCUAAUACCGCGUACCAUAGGAUGAGCCCAAGUGGGAUGAGCUAGUGGGUGGGGUAAAGGCUCACCAAGCAGACGAUCUCUAGCUGGUCUGAGAGGAUGAACAGCAACACUGGAACUGAGACACGGCCCAGACUCCUACGGGAGGCAGCAGUGGGGAAUAUUGCGCAAUGGGGGCAACCUGACGCAGCCAUGCCGCGUGAAUGAAGAAGGCCUUCGGGUUGUAAAGUACUUUCGGUAGGGAGGCGUUAACUACAGAAGAAGCACCGGCUAACUCCGUGCCAGCAGCCGCGGUAAUAC
rnacentral:rRNA from 1 species